AACGGAGGGGACAAGUGUUACUCGCCAUGACUGGGCGUAAAGGGUUCGUAGGCGGCUUAGUUAAUCGUUUGAUAAAUCAUCAAGUUAUUCGAUAUUCUAAGCUUGAGUUAUGGGGAAGGUUGAAGUACUCCUAGUGGAGGGGUGAAAUCCUAAGAUACUAGUGGGGACUAUCAGUCGGCGAAAGCAUCAACCUAAACAUAUACUGACGCUGAGGAACGAAAGCGCGGGGAGCAAACGGG
rnacentral:rRNA from 1 species